UAGCCUACGGGGCGCAGCAGUGGGGGAUAUUGCACAAUGGGGGGAACCCUGAUGCAGCGACGCCGCGUGGGUGAAGGAGUGCUUCGGCAUGUAAAGCCCUAUCGGCAGGGAAGAAGCAAGACGGUACCUGACUAAGAAGCCCCGGCUAACUACGUGCCAGCAGCCGCGGUAAUACGUAGGGGGCGAGCGUUAUCCGGAUUUACUGGGUGUAAAGGGCGUGUAGCCGGGCCGGCAAGUCAGCUGUGAAAUCCCAAGGCUCAACCUUGGAACUGCAUUUGAAACUGUUGGUCUUGAGUAUCGGAGAG
rnacentral:rRNA from 1 species